CCUCUGCUUCGCCGUGCAGACUCUCCUUCUCUCUUCCUUUUGCUCUUCUGUUUUUUUAGUUUCUUAUGCUCUUCCUCCCUCUGUUUUCUCUUCCUUAUGCUCCCCUCUCCCUCUGCUUUUGUUGCUUUCCUCUCUCGUCGCUGUCACCUCUCUGUUUUUCUCCUCACUGUAGCCUUUCCUCUCUUCCCUCUGUUUUUCUUUGUUGUCUCGUUCUCCCUGCUGUUCUGCUUCCCCCUCCUUUUGUUCUCCUUUUUCCUCUCUGUCUCGUCUUUUUUU
rnacentral:lncRNA from 1 species